AGAAAUAAUAGUCCUUAUAUGAAUGUUUUCAGUCUCCAGGCAAGUAAAGUAUAGGAAAGACCUUUUUAUUAUUUGUUGAGUUGGGGUUUUUAUUUAAACAUUUCACUGCCACUGCAAAUCAGUGCCAGCCGUAUUGUUUCUGGUAUCCGCCUGUGGGCAGCUUAAGAACAGUGAAUGUGAGUGAGCCAACAUGGUUUUAACCUUCAAGAACAGCUGGAUAGAGGCAUAUUAAUGUCAUCCUGUUUUACUUAUGACUGACACAUUAUAACUAAAGAGCCAGAAUGGAUGGGCUCAAGACAGGCAGGUUCGAAUCAAGUAAUUAAGUGCAUUGCCCUGAAGUUAACAAAUCUAAAGAAAAGCUCAAUUGGCAUAGGCUUAUAACCCUGAGGCAGGAGUUAGACGCAGCAUCUCUCCCUCUCUGGCCAGUCACAGUCAGCAAACUUAACGCAACACCUCUAAGGGACACUAGGAUUGACCACAGACCCUAGCAAGUUAAAACUCUCACAGUACAGCCUAAAAAGAGACAGGCUUUGCAAAGUGACUUAUGUUGCCAGCCCACAGUGGUUAAGUGUAGGCUUUGGGUAAACCAUGCAGCAUGACAAGGCACUGCUGGAAAAGCCUGAAUACAUGACUGCUUUCAAACUCCAGUGCUAUUCUUAGUGGAUAUAUGUACAACAUGUCUAAAUCCAGGACUCUAAAUGGUUACGGCAUUUCCUGAAAUGAACAAGAAGAGAGCAAGAAGUAGGGAGGAAUAAAAUCAGACAUCUUCAGUCACACUGCUCAAACUGUAAGAAAGCCUGUCUGCUCGGUUGUGGCAAACUUUAAAAUUUACAUGACUGGAAAAAAGGAGUUUCAUUCUGUAACACCAGCACAGUAAUCUCAACCUUCAAAACAAACUUUCCUUAAAACACAAACUUCUAAAUCAUCAAAACUGCAUACGUGGAGUAUUCACACAGACAUAUAUCCACUGGAAGACCCGGAGCAAAUGAUAGCAGCAACAUAAAAUUUGAUGGUAUACAUCUUCCUGCAAAGCUGCAGAAGUUUCUUCUACAAGUCAGUGAAUGACAGCUGCACAUCACAAUUCAAAGACUAAACAAAUCAAGGACAUAUAUGUAGAUAUUUGUUCAUUGGUUUCAAAUCAAUUAAUGUGAUCAAGAUUCUUUAUGAUAUGCAUCCUGCAUGUUUUGGGUGGGUUCCUCCCACCCUGAAAAUAGCUCACAGUGACCUGCUAGUGCCUCACAAGAACAACCCAGAACACAAAUCAUAGAAUGGUUAGGGGUUGGAAAGGACCUUAAGAUCAUGUAGCUCCAAACCCCCACUAUGGGCAGGAGCACCUCACACUAAGCCGGCUUUCUCCAAGUCCCGUCCAACCUGGUCUUGAACACUGCCAGGGAUAGGGCAGCCACAGCUUCUCUGGGAAACUUGUUCCAGUGCCUCACCACCCUCACAACAAAGAAUUUCUUCCUUGUAUCCAACCUAAAUCUCCCCUGUUUAAGUUUGAACCCAUUACUCCUUAUCCCUUUCAUUUCAAGCACUCCUCUUUGUUUCUGAAGUCUAUGCAUCAGACAAAACUUGGUCUCUCAGAACAGAUAACCUAAACCCCACUGAUGCCCUCUGUCCUCAGAUGAAGACACAUUUCCCUUCAGUAAGCAAAAAGUGCAAAGUUACACAAACUGUAUCUGCUCAAACUGCAAAACUCUUUGCCAAGAACACCCAACUGCACCCAGCUGGAGCUGCAUAGGCUGGCAGAGGCUCCACAUUCCCGCAUGGCUGGGGGUGUUUCCCUCUCCCAGCCUGUAAUUUGCCUUGCACACUGCUGGGAGGAAACAGCAGCUCUCCCAGCUACUGACCUAACAUUGGACAGCCAGAUCUAGGGCAGCGAAGACCCACAGAAGGCCAGCAGCAGCAAAAUAUCCAUAGCAAUAAAAUGUGUCCCAUCCUCACUGCUUCUUUCACACCAAAUAGCCCAAGAGGAGAAAGGAAGACAUCCUGGAUAUGCCAAAUGACAAGUUGAAGUGGCUUCAAAUUCUGGCAGAGCUCUUAUGUGGCUAUUUCAAGUUACAGGAAAGAUCAGAAUAGUUCCAGAAAAACCUAUAAUUUGGAGCCUCUUUCAAGCACAUUCCUGUAUUCACUGGCCUUCAGUCAAUUACUGUGUAUUGGCAAUUCAUCAAGACAUAUCACACUGUGGACUGAAGUCCAUGCCAACCUCCAAACCCACUCCUCCUGUAAAUCAGUUCACAGCAGUAUCUAAGACUUUUUACACAGGCAUCUCCAAUGGGGAAAAGCAAAGAAGAACAAGUAAGUCUAAGCAACUUGCCUAAGGUUAUAGAUCAAAUAUGGGGAGUCUGAAUUUUCAAGUCAGUCUUAAUGACCACAAGCUUAUUCAACUGAAUGCCAUGCAAAAGCAUGCCAGAUCUUGUUCCCUGAACCUUCAUCAGCCACAGAUUUGACCCGGCUGAUACCCAUCCCAUUCAUAUCUCUAAACUGAGAGGACCAAAAAAAAAAACCCCAAAAAUAUAUGGUUUUCAGUAAUGUUCCUUUACAACUACUGGUUUAAACUCUCUGAUGGAUGAGACUGCAGUAAAACACACCUCAACAUUUCCAAGUUGUUUUUAGAAUCAAUGUUCUUGAUAACUCAGUUAUAAACUCAUUCCUACUUUUCACAGACCAGAACCUGACCUGUCCUGAUGUCAACCUCAGUUGCAAGUUUUGAUUAACACUGUGUUUAUACACUCUAGAUGUUCAGGAAGCCCAUGUCAUGUCUGCUAGCAGUGCACCAACAAUAAAAGGGAUACAGCACUUUGCAUGGAUAAAGAAUAACUGCCAUUGGUUGUUCUGUUCUAUCUCCUGUACCAUCCGCAAUGCUCACCU